rnacentral:rRNA from 1 species
UACGUAGGGUGCAAGCGUUGUCCGGAAUUAUUGGGCGUAAAGAGCUCGUAGGCGGUUUGUUGCGUCGGCUGUGAAAUCCCGAGGCUCAACCUCGGGUCUGCAGUCGAUACGGGCGGACUUGAGUGUUGCAGGGGGAGACUGGAAUUCCUGGUGUAGCGGUGAAAUGCGCAGAUAUCAGGAGGAACACCGGUGGCGAAGGCGGGUCUCUGGGCAACUACUGACGCUGAGGAGCGAAAAGCGUGGGGGAGCGAACAGG